rnacentral:rRNA from 1 species
UACGUAGGGUGCAAGCGUUGUCCGGAAUUAUUGGGCGUAAAGAGCUCGUAGGCGGCCUGUCGCGUCGGCUGUGAAAACCCGGGGCUCAACCCCGGGCCUGCAGUCGAUACGGGCAGGCUAGAGUCCGGCAGGGGAGACUGGAAUUCCUGGUGUAGCGGUGAAAUGCGCAGAUAUUAGGAGGAACACCGGUGGCGAAGGCGGCCAUCUGGGUCGUUUCGUGACGCUAAAGGGCGCGAAAGCGUGGGGAGCAAACAGG